GUCCUUAGGACUCGUGGACAGGCAGGGCUGUGUGGGGUCUCCAAGGCACUGAGGGGGUUUCCAAACCUUUGCGGGGGUCUCCAUGGGGUCCCCAAGGCCUUGGGGGGGCCCCAUCACUCUUUGACCCCCCAACACCCCCCGGACGCCCAUAAACCCUCCUGGACCCCCAUAAAAACCCCCAUCACUCUUUGACUCCCCAAACACACCUCCCUAAACCCCCCAAAAUCCCUGUGGCUCUUUGAUCCCCCAACACCCUCCAGACCCCCCAUAAACCCCCAUCACUCUGUGACCUUCCCAGACCCCCAACACCCCCAGACCCCUCAUAAACCCCACUGCUCUUUGAAGCCCCCCCCCCGGGCUCACCCAAACCCCCACAAACCCCCAUCGCACUUCAUCCCCCAUAAUCCCCCUGGACACCCCUAAACCCCCAUCAAUCUGAGGAAGAUUUCCUCCCAGUCUCCCAUCUCUCCCUGCCCUCUGGCACUGGGCAGCCAUUCCCUGUGUCCUGUCCCUCCAGGCCUUGUCCCCAGUCCCUCUCCAGCUCUCCUGGAGCCCCUUUAGGCUCUGGAAGGGGCUCCAAGGUCUCCCUGGAUCCUUCCCUUCCCCAGCUGAGCCCCCCCAGCUCUCCCAGCCUGGCUCCAGAGCAGAGGGGCUCCAGCCCUGGCAGCAUCUCUGGGGCCUCCUCUGGACUCUCUGCAGCAGCUCCACGUCCUUGUGCUGCUGUUGCCCAGGGCUGGAGGCAGCUCUGCAGGGGGGUCUCAGCUGAGGGGGCAGAGGGGCAGAUCCCCCCUGCCCUGCUGCCCACCAUCCCUGUGGGAUCAGCCCAGGGCACGGGGGGUUCUGGGGCCAGAGCACACGGCCGGAGCACGUCCAGCCUCUCCCCCUGCAGCACCCCCAGGUCCUUCUCCCCAGGGCUGCUCUCCAUCCAUUGCACUCCCAGGGGGUGUUUGUGUCUGGCAUUGCCCCGAUCCAGAAGGAGCACACGGGACUGCAGCUUCAGUAAAGCUGUUGAAGGUCUAAUCCCAGCACUAGAGCCCGAGAGUGCUGAACUGCCCCAGGGCUGAGCUUGAGAGGGGACUGGUAGAGUGCUGAGGGGCUGGAGCUGAGGGGCUGGACUGAGGGCUGGCUGUGGAUGGAGCUGUGAGGGGACGGUUGUGAGAGCGGGCUGUGUGUGUGAGGGGAGAGGGGACGGUUGUGAGGGCGGGCUGUGUGUGUGAGGGGAGAGGGGACGGUUGUGAGGGCGGGCUGUGUGUGAGGGGAGAGGGGACGGUUGUGAGGGCGGGCUGUGUGUGUGAGGGGAGAGGGGUCGGUUGUGAGGGCGGGCUGUGUCUCUCGGCUGUGAGGGGACGGUUCUCGGGGCACGCUGUGACUCUCAGGCGGCCCCGAUCCCCUCAGUGGGACCGUUGGAGCGCGGCCGGGACCGAAGCAGCCCCGCCGGCCCUGGAGGCACCCGCAUCCCCCAGAACCCCCCCCUGGACCCCCCCGGGACCCCCUGACCGCGGCCCGGGACAGGUCGUCGGUUAAAUGUUUGGAGAAGGAGCCGAGCCCAGGAAAGUGGGAGUUGCCCAGAGAGGCUCCUCAGUGUGAUUCAGGUACCCUGAUCUGUUGGACUGACUGUGGGAUCGAGCAUAAAUGCUGUUAUCAGGUGCCUGUUUCUUGCACUCACAGAACUGGUACUGAAUUUUUCAUUUCUGACAAACCUGUGGCCUGGAGCAGUGACUUCUGCAUUUUCUGUCAUGUAUAGGACAUGUAAAAAUAUUCCUCUGUGGGAUA